rnacentral:rRNA from 1 species
GACGAACGCUGGCGGCGUGCCUAAUACAUGCAAGUAGGACGCAGUUGCGAACGGGUGAGUAAUGCGUAGGUAACUACCUAUUAGAGGGGGAUAACUAUUGGAAACGAUAGCUAAUACCGCAUACUAGUAGAUGGACCUGCGUUGUAUUAGCUAGUAGGUAGGGUAAUGGCCUACCUAGGCAACGAUACAUAGCCGACCUGGGGUGUUGGACGGGCAAACUUGGAAUGGGAAACGGCCCAGACUCCUACGGGCGGCAGCAGUAGGGAAUCUUCGGCAAUGGGGGGAACCCUGAACGGACAACGCCGGGGGAGAGUAGAAGGUUUUCGGGUCGUAAAACUCUGUUGUUAAGGAAGCGGUACUUAACCAGAAAGGGACGGCUAACUACGUGCCAGCAGCCGCGGUAAUUC